rnacentral:snoRNA from 1 species
GGAUUGAUGAUGACUUCAGAAAUGGAUGUCAUUGGAAUCUGAACAAAAUGAAUGACAGAAUCACUUCUGUGAGCUGAGGUCU